CCUACGGGGGGCAGCAGUGAGGAAUAUUGGUCAAUGGACGAGAGUCUGAACCAGCCAAGUAGCGUGAAGGAUGACUGCCCUAUGGGUUGUAAACUUCUUUUAUAAAGGAAUAAAACGAGGCACGUGUGCCUUUUUGCAUGUACUUUAUGAAUAAGGAUCGGCUAACUCCGUGCCAGCAGCCGCGGUAAUACGGAGGAUCCGAGCGUUAUCCGGAUUUAUUGGGUUUAAAGGGAGCGUAGAUGGGUUGUUAAGUCAGUUGUGAAAGUUUGCGGCUCAACCGUAAAAUUGCAAUUGAUACUGGCAGUCGUGAGUACAGUUGAGGUAGGCGGAAUUCGUGGUGUAGCGGUGAAAUGCUUAGAUAUCACGAAGAACCCCGAUUGCGAAGGCAGCUUACUAAACUGUGACUGACAUUGAUGCUCGAAAGUGUGGGUAUCAAACAGGAUUAGAGACCCUUGUAGUC
rnacentral:rRNA from 1 species